GUAGGUGAACCUGCGGAAGGAUCAUUAACACGUAUCCAAACGUUAAAACCCCCCUGUGAACCUUCAACACCAGUCCUCUCCCGGUACACAGGACAAUCUCUAGUAAAUCAUUGUCUUAAUCAGAUUUUGAGUUAGAGACUUCCCUAUGUGCCCUCGGAUCCGAGUUUGUCUGGAGUAGCAUUAUACGCGUCCCGGCGCUCCCAAGUGGCCCAUUGAUCUGAAAGUGUUCAGUGAGUUGCGUAAGAGAUUGACGCUGUCAACGUUCACUGGAGGCCCACACGGCCGGUGUCCGGGGCUUCCGCUGCAAUUUAGCGGCCAUAUUCACAUUUGACGAUACGACGGCGCGCGCCGAAAGGUUGUACGCAUUUUAAAACGAACAACUGUUAACAAUGGAUAUCUUGGUUCUC
rnacentral:misc_RNA from 1 species